GCAGGCUCGGGUUUCUGAGGGGCUGGAGCGGGGGCAGGGCACGGGGUGCCCCCCCCGGUGCCAGCAGUGCCCAGGGGGGUCUCAAGGCCUCUGUCCCCCUGUCGCUGUGUCCCCCCCUCCCCAUGCCCCCCCCAGCUUUGCCAGCGGCCCCCCCACGCUGUCCAGCAGCCCCCCGGACUCCUACCAGCAGCUCAACGUGGAUAACGGGAACGUGACAGACAUCAACGACAACAGGAGUGACCUGUCCUGCGCCUGCGAGGCCGAGGAGGCGGCCAAGCUCUUCCCCCUGCGC
rnacentral:lncRNA from 1 species